CAGAUUCAAGGAAGAUCUGAGAGAGACUCACUGAUUUGGACUUGCACUGGCGUGUCUCGGAUGGCUUGGCUAGGAUGCCCGCAUAAUAGGGAUUUCCGAGCAACUGAAAGAUUGAACUGUAGUUCUCGCACGGAUAUUUGUUGAUCAGCGUCUUUCCCAUUGUAGCUCUACUAUAUUUGUGGGGUCUCUUGAUACGGAUGAUGUAUGAAUUGCCACCAGCAGUCGUCUGGGGCCGGGGCGCCGAGUGCGUGUUCUCUGACAAGGUGCUCUUGGCCUAUCCCCACUGGGAAUGGCAUGGAGCAGGACAAUAAGGUCUAUGUGUUGUUGCAGCCGGUUCCAAAUUUGUAGGUUCAUAAUUGCUUGAUAAGGCUGAAUGGUCUACUCAAGCUUCUGCAAUACGUCAUUUUUUUUCUACAAGUGAGUCCACUUUGUUGCUUGCUGCAAUCGCUUGUGAGUCAAUGUGUUUGGUGUAGGUUAAAUGGAGGUCAACUACUAUAUCAAAGGUAAGACCUUAUUUAGUUUCAGAGAUAUAAUUCCAUUUUCUGAUGGAUGGGUUAGCACAAGUAGACAAAUCGUACUGCUUACUGAGUGUACCUGAUUGAGUGAAUUUCGCGCUUUCAUAAAAUUUAUUUCUUAGCCUAUAAGGUGCCGAGGUGGUUUAUUAUGUGCUGAAUUUGAAUACCAUGCGUAGCAUAUAUGAAAAUUACACCAUAAUGACAUGCUGUGUUUUCGUAGUAACAAAUGGGCCACUUUCUGGACUAAUUGGCAGGUUAGCAAGUUAUUUGAUUAUCUUAUUUCCUCUAGAUUGUAACAUUUUUUGUUGUGUAAUAUUAUCAUGGUAAUAUUUUAGAUAUCAUGUUUGUUAAGCUCCAAAUAGAACAUAUUUGGAUGUGUAGUUGUAGGCUCUCUUCUUUGUGAGUUGUGUGAUGGAACAUAUGAGCACAUUUAUAACGUUUCUCAUCUAAAACAAGUCAUCUGUAAUCUAUGAUCUUCUAUUGAUUUUUUAUCUUUGUGUUCAAGGGGAUGAGAAUAGUUCAAGGGCCUGAUGAUUUGGUG